rnacentral:rRNA from 1 species
GACGAACGCUGGCGGCGUGCUUAACACAUGCAAGUCGAACGGAAAGGCCCUUCGGGGUACUUGAGUGGCGAACGGGGGAGUAAAACGUGGGUGAUCUGCCCUGCACUUUGGGAUAAGCCUGGGAAACUGGGGCUAAUACCGAAUAGGACCACGCGCUUCAGGGUGUGGGGUGGAAAGCGUUGGCGGUGUGGGAUGGGACCGGCGCCUAUCAGCUUGUUGGGGUGGUAAUGGCCUACCAAGGCGACGACGCGUAGCCUGGCUGAGAGGGUGAGCUGCCACACUGCGCCUGAGCUGCGGCCCGGCCUCGUCCGCUACGCGGCGCUGCGGUGUGUUGCACUGUGGGCUCAACCCUGAUCCAGCCCCGCCGCGUGGCGUGUGUCGUCCUUCGGUUUGUGUUCCUCUGCCCUUUUGCACGAGGCGCAAGUGACGGUACCUAUAGAAGAAGCACCGGCCAACUCCGUG